ACGUUGUUGGGGCGGGGAAAACGUGGGCACCACCAUUUUGACAGUAUUCGGCAGGCUGGCGCUAUUGUGGUGGAGAAGACAUGGUCGAUGACUGUUGUGCACCAGGUUGCACAAAUAAACGAGGCAAAAAUAAAUGUACGUCGUUCCACCGCGUUCCUAAAGAUGCGGAGAGGCGAGCUAAGUGGAUCAGCGCCAUUAAAAGAGCCAGGAGCAAGCAAAAAAAGACUGAAAAAUGGGACCCCCCGGCUGUUGGAUUCCGCUUGUGCAGCGAUCACUUCAUAUCAGGGAGAAAGAGUGAUAAUCCCUUGAGUCCGGACUUUGUUCCAUCUGUUUUCAACUACGUUCCAUCUCCAGAGAAGAGGAAAAGAAAAAUGAGACUGGAGGUUUUCAACAGACGACAGAAAGCAAAGCUGCAGAAGAUAGAGCAGACAAAGCAAUCUGCGAAAGCCAUCCCUCCCAGGUGAAUAUUUAAGUUCCUUAACCUGGUCAACCCCACUUCCAUGGACUUGGUAAAAUUAUAAACCAAUUAUUUUUUGUACAAUUCAUUGUAGGUUUAAUAACACCCAAUGAGCUAAAAACCAUAACAUCUGUGACUGGUUUGAAAUCAUCACACACCUCUGCCGACAUGCAUUUGGCAGCCACUGACUAUGCAUGUGAUUGUCACUGUCAUUGUCAAUACCCCUGUCAUUGUCUUUCUAUUCAUUUAUUUUAUUACAUUGUUUAUUUAUCAUAUACCGACUAUGAAGCACUUUUGGAUGUAAAUGUGCUAUACAAUUUACUUACUUUCUUACUAACGAAAGCUAGUAUACUGCAGAAAACAGAGAGUGACUGACAAACAAAUGACAAACUGUCAUCAGUAGUGUAUACAUACUCUUUAUACUACUUUUGUUUUCACCAGAGCAUCAACAGAUUGUCCUCAAGACAGCAACAAGGAUCCUACUGCAGAGCAAAGUCCCACCACAGAGCCUUUGAAGGGAUCUACCCAUGAAGAACCUGGAAAUGAUGUCCAGCCUGUUCUCCAUGAGGAUGAUCCAGCAACCCCACCAUGCAGCACUGAAACCUGUGGUAAACGCGACCAAUCUCUUGAGCAAGAAUGCCAAGCUCUGAGGAAUGGAAAUAUGUUGUUGAAGGAAAAAAUGAAUAGGACUACACUGAAUGAGAUGAGCUUGCAUAACGAUGAUAAAAGGGUUAAUACUCUCACUGGUUUAUCAGCAUUUUCCACUCUCAUGACAAUUUUUCAUAUUGUGGCUCCUUUUCUCCAACUUAAAUCUAGUAUAACAUGUUUUCAGCAGUACAUGUUAACUUUAAUUAAGCUUAGAAUGAACUUGUCCUUUGAAUUUUGGGCUUUUUAUUUUGACAUUGACUCAACCACUGUUUCAAAGCUCUUCAAACACUGCAUUAGUGUGAGGCAUUGUAGACUGGUGCCAAGUCUGGUGUUGUGGCCUGACAGAGAAUACUUAAGAAAAUCUCUUCCAUAUGCAUUUCCAAACAGUAGCUUUGAAAAGACAGUUUGCAUCAUAGAUUGUUUUGAAAUAUUUCUAGAGAAACCCAGUAGAUUGCUAGCCAGUGCUCAGUGUUACUCCUCAUACAAAUCACACCACAAUAUGAAUUAUUUAAUUGCAAUUUGCCCUCGAGGUUCCAUUUGUUUAAUUUCCACUGGAUGGGGAGGUCGCACAAGUGAUAAGUUUAUCACAGAACAAAGUAACUUUUUAUCUCAUUUGCCCCCCAGGGGACGUAGUUUUAGCGGACAGAGGUUGUCUGGUUAAAGAGUCCAUUGAGAGAUGCCAAGCUGAAUUAAAAAUUCCAGCAUUUACUCGUGGAAAGAAGAUCCUGCUGACUUGGAGAACACCAGACGUCUAGCCUCCCUUAGGAUACAUAUUGAAAGAGUGAUAGGAGUUCUCCGUCAAAAGUACACAGUCUUGCAAAGCACUGUCCCCAUAUGUUUCACGGACAUAGACGGAGAAAAUGAUGUGACCUACCUUGACAAGAUGGUGAGCGUGUGUUGUGCACUUACAAAUGUGUCUGAAUCUGUGGUGUCCUUCCAGUGAUGGGGAUGUACAGUAAAUUGAACUGAUGUGACUGGCUACAGAUGUGCUCAACCAGCAAAUAAACCUUUGUGACUCACA